UUUUUCCAUUAUUUAAGACGAAUCUGGCAAAUAUGUGUAACUAAUAUGCAUAAAAAAUGUGUCCCAUUAUAUGACCAAAGUAAUUUAAUUUAAUUUUCAGUCAACUUAUUCUCUGUUACCAUGAGAGGAAAGCUUGUAUUAGUUCUUUUCACGUUAAUACUUGUUCAGGCAAUUGCAGCAGUUAAAUGGUAUGAUUUUUACAAGAAUAUAAACUUGCCCAUCAUCGGAACGUCUGUGAAGAAAUAACAAAUAAAAUCGCAAAGUUAUAUGAAGACCUCUGUGAAUUUUUAAUGAAAUAGGAUGCUUUACCAUUAUUUAUAUUCACUUACUUCUUUGUCCUGCUAUGACUAAGUGAUUGAGUGAAUAUAAAUUUUAUUUGAAGUCUUCUGUUAUAGACAAUGACAACAAUAAACUUUUAUUUGAACACAUUUUCAAAUUAACAAAUAA